rnacentral:sRNA from 1 species
AUCGCGACGGCAGGAGCUCGGCCGAAAACCUGCAGGCGGCAUAAGUUUCAGGCGCCUCCGGUCCGACCACGGAUGUACUGGCGCGACCGUGGAGGCGCUGAAGAGAAGGUCGGGGAAACCCCCGGCCUUUUUUCA